GUAGGUGGCAAGCGUUGUCCGGAAUUAUUGGGCGUAAAGCGCGCGCAGGCGGUUCUUUAAGUCUGAUGUGAAAGCCCACGGCUCAACCGUGGAGGGUCAUUGGAAACUGGAGAACUUGAGUACAGAAGAGGAAAGCGGAAUUCCACGUGUAGCGGUGAAAUGCGUAGAGAUGUGGAGGAACACCAGUGGCGAAGGCGGCUUUUCUGGUCUGUAACUGACGCUGAGGCGCGAAAGCGUGGGGAGCAAACAGGGAUUAGACACCCUGGUAGUCCACGCCGUAAACGAUGAGUGCUAAGUGUUAGGGGGGUUUCCGCCCCCCUUAGUGCUGCAGCUAACGCAUUAAGCACUCCGCCUGGGGAGUACGGCCGCAAGGCUG
rnacentral:rRNA from 1 species